UUAAUUUUUUUUAAAACUAUAUUUCCCUCUCUUAAAAACUUUUUAUAUUUUAAAAUGUAACACAAAUACAGAAAACUGCAUAAAUGAAUUAGCAUAAGGUGAACUCUCUUAAAACCACUCCCUCUCUUAGAAGAUAGAGGCUUGCCAGUCACCCCAGAAGCACACUCCUAACAUAAGCCUGCUCCUCUUCCCCAAAAUUGACUGCCUUCAUGACUUUUAUGAAGGGCCAGCACUUCUCAAAGUGUUAACUUCAUCUAUGGAGCCAAGAUUUUGAAAACUUUUCUCUCACCUUGAGGCGUUAAAGGUAUAUGUGCAUCAGUUGGAGUCCUGACAGGGAACAUAAUUCCACUC